GGCCCAGACUCCUACGGGAGGCAGCAGUGGGGGAUAUUGGACAAUGGGGGGAACCCUGAUCCAGCGAUGCCGCGUGAGGGAAGAAGGUUUUCGGAUUGUAAACCUCUGUGGACAGGGACGAUAAUGACGGUACCUGUCAAGAAAGCCACGGCUAACUACGUGCCAGCAGCCGCGGUAAUACGGAGGAUGCGAGCGUUAUCCGGAUUUAUUGGGUUUAAAGGGUGCGUAGGCGGGCUUUUAAGUCAGCGGUAAAAAUUCGGGGCUCAACCCCGUCCGGCCGUUGAAACUGGGGGCCUUGAGUGGGCGAGAAGAAGGCGGAAUGCGUGGUGUAGCGGUGAAAUGCAUAGAUAUCACGCAGAACCCCGAUUGCGAAGGCAGCCUUCCGGCGCCCUACUGACGCUGAGGCACGAAAGUGCGGGGAUCGAACAGGAUUAGAUACCCUAGUACC
rnacentral:rRNA from 1 species